CUUUUCAUUCCCGUUGUUAUGGAGGGCCACAUCUGCCAGAGCCUGGAGUCUGCGAAGGCCGGGACCCGGUUCCCCGGCCCACAGUGGGGGUGUGCAAACCCGAGAGAACUGGGUUGCAAAUUCGUGAAGAAUCAGCAUCAUGUUUGGCAGCUGAGUAUUGGAGCCAGGAGCCUGCCAUGAGGUUUUGAGAACAGAGUGCUGUUUUAGAGCUGGCAGCAGCAUCUCAGCCCAAGAGAAGCCGAUGCAGCCUCAGUGUUCCUUUGCCUUGGGGGUUUCUGAGUGGUGGGGUUGUAAGCAGAUCCUGCCAGGCACCCAGAAGGAAACCUCAUCAGGACUCCCUCAGAAAGGCCCUGAAGAAUCCUGUGACCUUCAUCUAAAGUAGGUCAUGAGACCCCUGAGCUUAAAACGGAGUGAUCGGCUUUGGAGAAGUAAGGAGACAUGACGUGCCUGCCCUGGGGUGGGGACUAAACUUCGUGCCACUCCACGUGAAAGGGGGAGAAAUCCCUGGAAGGCACGCAGGCUGGACAUCAUCAUAUAUUCUCUACAGAUGGAGACACCAAGGCCCACGCCUUCUGUGCUGUUGGAAUUUCAGGAAGGAUGGGGGUGGGGCACGGCCUCAGCCCUGGGCAUGUUCUGCAGAUUGCACUGCUCUUAUCUGCCAGGGGGUGGUGAGAGGGUGGCUGAGCUGGACAGAUGGCGGGCAGGGACGGGCUCUGCGGUCUGGCAGCUGACAUUGAUACAAGCAAAAAAAGAGUCUUUGCUGGGGGC
ensembl:lncRNA SNHG29 small nucleolar RNA host gene 29